GCCUGGCUGGCUCAGUCAGUAGAGCUUGCGAUUGUUGAUCUUGAGGCUAUGAGUUUGAGUCUCAUGUUGGGUG
rnacentral:tRNA from 1 species